GAAGCUAUAUGUGGAAAUUAUCCAUGUAAAAUAGGAUUGCAGACAAAAGACAGCUUUAUACUACCACCUUGUGGCUGACCUGUUCAUGUGUAUUUUCACGUUCAUUGCUACAGAGCUAGAAGAGUUGGUAAAAUGUAUGCAAAUCAGCAACAUAUACAUUUUGAUGUCUCUGUCAUUAUACAUGCAUAAAAUGGUAGAGUUAACGGUGGUUUUGCAGUUUCUUAAACCUUAGGCAAUGAGAAAAACCAUCAGGUUUAAAUAGGGCCGGACUUAAUUUCUCCGAUUAACUUAAUCUGAGUUUAUUUCAGGGUUCUUCAGUGUACGUAGGUUUGCUUCUGACUUCUAGAGGAGUUAUGAUCUAACAAGCAUUGGGUACCGUGUUUCUGAUCCUUUGCUGUUUGCAUCUAACUUAAGUCACUCAUUGCUUUAUUUCCUACUAUAAGACUCCUUCAAGCCCUGGUAUCUGCUUUUGCUAAUUCUAGCCCCAUCGACUGAUGUUUAUAACAAUGAGUCUUAAUUGACUACACAUAUUCUGUCACUGUUCUUCCCUGGGGAGUCACUCCAGGGCUACACUUUAGGAGAACAUCUGCUUUGGUCCGUUUUCUAUUCAUAACACAGGGCUGAAAGACUGGGUACAUCAUAAAGAAAAGAGAUUCCUUUUGGUUCAAAGUUGGGUUCUAGGGCUAAGGGAACAAAUUUAGGUAGGGCAUUCUAGAUGCACUGUCCAUGUAGAGUCCUUAGGAAAUGGAGGAAAUCAUAUGGCAAGAUAAGGCAAGUCCACAUGUACGCUCAAUUCUCUCUCUGCCUUAUUAUGGUUAGAAUGAAAAAGUGCCCCCCAUAGGCUCAUGUAUUUGCACACUUGGUCACCAUGUUGUAGCACUAUUUGGGAAGUGAUCAAUCCUUUAGGAGGUGCAGCGUUGCUGGAGGAAGUGCAUCAUUGGGAGCAGCCCUCACUUCCUGCUCUGUUUCUCUCUCUCUGCCUCCUGUAUGUGGUUGACAUGUCAUGUUUCACUUUCCUGCUCCUGCCAUUAUGGAUAUCUAAACCCCUGGAACUAUAAGCCAAACUCUCCUUUAAGUUGCUUUUGGUCAUGGUACUUCAUCUCAGCAACAGAAAAAUAACUAAUACAUGUGUACUCCCCAACACUGUAAAGUCUUCAGCAUUCUCUUUCUCAUGGUGGUCUCUAUCGUGGCCAUAUCUCCUCCUAAUCACCGGUAAAGGCCUCACCUCUAAAUACUGUGGUUGGAUCAUGUUUCUAUUGUCUGGCUACCUCAUAAUGAUGAAACUUCAUCAUGAGUUUUAUUGGUGACAACACAUACACAAACCAUAAAAAACAGCAUGUCCUUACUAGGCCUCCUAAGACCUCAAAAAAGGCUGCUUUCCCUAAUGGGAUUGUAUAUCAGGAUCCUUUUAAGUAGCUCACUUCCUUCCUAGUACGUGGCCUUUCUCCUUCAGGUUUUAGGGAGCCAAAGCUAACCUAAGACAACACUGCUUGAAAUAAAAGGCCACAAAUAACCUAUCUAAACAAGAAGAGGCUAGAGGGGUAGAAAAUGUGGGUGGUAAGGAGACAAAGGGUGAAAGAAAGUAUCUAUAACAGCAAUUACAAAGCAAUGUGGCUACAUCUUAAGAGUCUACUCUAGUAGGGUAAUUUCACAGACAAAGAGAGUCAUCCAGAGUACCUUACAGAACUCUCUGAGGUAGCAUGCUGGUAUGGCAUGAGCUGUUUGUAAGUAUGCUAAAGCGUUGAUAACACCAGUGCUUGGGCAGCUAGAUAGAAACUGGAGCUGUCCUAGUCAGUUUUCUUGGCCCAAUUGCUUCUGGACAAGAUGACCCUUAUCUAGAUCUCUUUAUAGUAAUCAGAACACACUAAUUUUUUUUUAAUAAAAGUUUUCAUGAAAUUUAGUUUAGCCUCAAAGUCUUUGUGAAGCUGGAGCUGAUCUUGAACUCCUGAUUCUCCUGUUUCCCAUUACUGAGAUUACAGGUAUGUGCCAAUGCCCAGAACAGACUAUGUUAACUUUUUAUUUGUGAGCUAUUGUUGUAUCACAAACCAAACCCAAAACUUACGGCAUAAUACAAAGUGUAUUGUAUUUGUCCACGAAUGCUGUGGACCAAAACUUGGAAUGUAUGUCAAGAAGAGGCUUUUGAUCUUACUUUGGGUCAUAUAUGUGCCUCCUCCAUCCCCUGUCUGCAACUUGUUGAAGGGCAUAUUUUUCCAAUGCCAUUGGUGUUGACUAAUGGUAUGUCCAUAAGCCUUUAUAAGCUAGCUUCCACUUCUUUAUAUGGGGGAAGCAGAAUGCCUAAGAGUAAAGGAGGCUAAGUACGAAUGCACAAUUAUCAUUCAAACCUCUGGUCAUUGAGGUCACUGUGGUCAAAGGUAAGUUCACAGCUGAAAGGCACAGUCAUUGUAAGUAUGUAAAGAUACGAGUACAAGGAAGUGUGAUUUGUCAGGAGCAAUUCAUGCAAGAACUGCCACAGUGCUAUAAACAAACAUUCCCAAAACUCAGUGGCUCCCACAAUCAAGUGCCAUUUCUUACUAAUGUCAGACCAAAUUGGUAAGAUGACUUUCAGAAUCAUAAUGGAGUCCUGAACUCUUCUAUAUAGUGUAUCUAUUAUUGUCCAAGAACUUUCCUCUGACAAGAAAAGCAGAAAAUGCAGGCAUGACAGAAGGGUUUAGAGACAAAGCCCAGAAGUGGUAUAUGUUUCUUCCAGCAACAUUCCAAUGGGUAACACUUAGCCAUGUAGCUUACAGUUAACGCAAUGCCCAAAAUUAAUAUAAUGUCCAAAAUAUAAUGCACACAUUUAUUGGUGAGCACUGCAACUCAUUGACACGAUUAAUAAUGGCAAAUUGAAAUAAAAAGGAACACAAUUGUUUUAAACUAAGUUCUUACACCAGAAUCCAACAAGCCAUAAAGAAAACCCAAGUAAAGUUAUAUGCCACCAAAAUGAAACUAAGUUGUUCCCUGGUUUUGUAAAAUUAUAAGAGGAAAAUGAGAGAUGGAGUCAAAGAGGGAAGGAAAGGAGAGGAGUGGAGAGCAAGAAGGGGAAGGGAGAGCAGAUGUGGGGAGGGAGCGAGCACAUUUCCCCAGGAAAGCCAGUUUCAGUUGGCCUGAGAAAAUUUUCUCUACUUUAGUCUUUAUGCCUAAAUCAAUCAAUUAAUAAACAAAACAAAACACCAGAAGCUAGGCAUGCCUACAGUCCCGGCAUUCAGGAGUUUAAGGUGAAAGGACAGUGAGUUUCAGGCUAGCCUGUUCUAAUAGUAAGACCUC
ensembl:lincRNA Gm43425 predicted gene 43425